ensembl:piRNA 21ur-1008 ncRNA
UGAUGUUGUUGUGUUGUUCUU